rnacentral:lncRNA from 1 species
CCACUAGAGUUUUGUUUCAUUUUAUAUUAUUUGCAUUAUAAUGCAUUUAUCUGUACAUUUAGUUUCUUGUUUAUUCUUCAUUUUUCUUUCACAGGCACCUACGGACCACGAAGGUGGCCCUCUGCUUAUCCAGAAUGCGGGGAAAGGAAUCAGUCUCCCGUGGAUAUCCCAGAUCAAGACACCCAGGUUUCUCAAGAGUGCCAGGAGCUGACCUUGGAUGGCUUUGAAAACAAGUCGUCAAACAGGACCACCAUGAAGAACACAGGCAAAACAGUGUCUAUUGUUCUGAAGAAUGAUUACUUUGUGAGAGGGGCCGGCCUACCUGGACGCUUCAAAGCAGAAAAAGUGGAGUUUCACUGGGGCAGCACAAAUGGAUCAGCUGGUUCUGAGCACAGUAUCAAUGGAAAGAAGUUUCCAGUAGAGAUGCAGAUUUAUUUCUACAAUUCAGAUGAUUUUGACAGUCUGAGCACCGCGAUAAAGGAGAGACGAAUCAUCGCCGCCUUGGCUGUCUUCUUUCAGGUGGCGAAGAAAGACAACAUUGCAGCUGAGCCCAUCAUCACAGGUCUCAAACGAGUAGUCCAUCACGAGAAGGAAACAAACCUUGGUCCAUUCAUACUGAGGGAUCUGCUGCCAUCAUCUUUGGAAAGUUAUUACCGCUACACCGGCUCGCUCACGACACCUCCCUGCAGUAAAGUCGUGGAGUGGAUCAUCUUCAGUCGACCUGUUUACCUCUCCUACCACCAGCUGGAGGCGUUCUACUCCAUCUUCACCACAGAGCAGCAGGAUCAUGUGAAGUCCGUGGAUUACCUGAGGAAUAACCAUCGGCCCACUCAGGAUCUCGACAGCCGGCAGAUCUUCAAAUCGGCUCUGAUGGAUGCUUGGAUGCCCGACCUCAUGACAGACAGCAUGGCCAGCGCUGCAGACUCAGAAACUUCUCGAGUAUUUAGUCAGCCACCAAUUGUGCAAGUUCUCCCACUUAAAAAGAUGAGAGAGGCCUGUAAUUUUCAUCAUAGGUAUACCUCAACUAUGAGAGACAAAAUGAGAAAAAAAAAUCCAGAAAAUCACAUUAGGGCGGUCAUCACACUCGUGUCUCCAGAUGUCCUGUAUCUGUUCAGAGUGCAAGCUGUAUGUCAGAGAGACCAGCGCAGUGACUUCAGCCAAACACUUUUAUUCAAAGCAAACACCACAAGGAUAUUUGAGGGCACAAGGAUUGUGAAAACUGGAAUGCCCACAGUUUCCCCCGCCUCUUCGGCAGACAUGGCCCCUAUAAGCUCAGGCUCCUCUACCUGGACGUCCGCCGGCCUCCCCUUUUCCUUCGUCUCCAUGGCAACGGGAAUGGGGCCUCCAUCCAGUGGAGGACAAGCCACUGUAGCAUCUGUGGUGACCAGCACUCUGUUGGCAGGACUGGGUUUCAGUGGCAGUGUGAUUUCUUCCCUGCCAGGAUCAUUUUGGCCAACCCACUCUACAAACUCAGCAAAUAACAAACAGGAAGAUGACCGUGAAAGAGAGGAGAAAGAGGAGGAAGAAGAAGAAGAGGAGGAGGAGGAAGAGGAACAGGGAGAAGAGGAGAAGAAAAAAAAGGGGAAAGAUGUGACAGUCAAGGACAAAAAGCAGGACAAGACGGUGCCACGAAAACCACCUGCCCCUGUCCCAACUACAAAACACAGGGAGCCGGGUCGAGAGAGGGCCGAUGUUAACACUGAGAAUUCCACAUUGGCCCCUAGAAUAGUGGAAGAGCAGGUGCCUCGUUCCACAGAGAGGCCUUCUGCAUCCAGCCGGAUGGAGUGGAUCAUCCCCCUGAUGGUGGUCUCUGCCCUCACGCUGCUCUGUCUGAUCAUGCUGCUGGCUGUCCUGGUCUACUGGAGCCACCGAGCGAACAAAAGCCAUUCAAAAGAUAUUCCAUUCUCGUUUUCUCAUAGCUGGAGUUCAUGCAGGGUGUUUACCAGAAAAUUCUUCCAGACUGCACAUUUGUAUAUUGAAGACAGGAACUCCCCCAGAGUGAUCCACAAUGACAGUUUCCCCAUCCUGUCUACAGCGGAUGACCUGGAGGCUGUUUCAGUCAGGCAGUUCAUCAAACACAUCAUGGAGCAGUACUCCAACAACCAACAUGGCUUUUCUCAGGAGUUCGAUGAGGUUCAACACUGCACAUCUGAAAUGAAGAUUACAGCAGAACGUUCAAACCAACCAGACAACAAGCACAAAAACAGAUACAUCAACAUUGUUGCCUAUGACCACAGCAGAGUGAAGUUGCAGCAACUGUCUGGGAAAGACUCCAAGCACAGUGAUUACAUCAAUGCCAACUAUGUAGACGGUUAUAAAAGACCCAGGGCUUAUAUAGCAGCUCAGGGCCCUCUGAAGUCCACAUUUGAGGACUUUUGGAGAAUGAUUUGGGAACAGAACACCACUGUGAUUGUCAUGAUCACCAACUUGGUGGAGAAAGGCAGGAGAAAAUGCGAUCAGUAUUGGCCAUCAGAGAACAGCGAGGUUUAUGGGAACAUAAUGGUGACUCUGAAGAGCACUAAAGUUUAUGCUUACUACACACUCCGCCAUUUCAUCAUGCGCAACACCAAACUGAAAAAGGGUCAGAAGGGAAGGCAUAACGAACGGCUGGUUGUCCAGUACCAUUACACACAGUGGCCAGACAUGGGCGUACCCGAGUAUACACUACCAGUCCUCAAAUUCAUCUCUCGAUCUUCAGCAGCCCGUACGCCAGGCACAGGCCCUGUUCUAGUUCACUGCAGUGCUGGAGUUGGCAGAACAGGCACAUACAUAGUCAUAGACAGCAUGCUGCAGCAGAUAAAGGACAACGGCACUGUCAACGUCCUAGGAUACCUCAAGCACAUCCGAGCUCAGCGCAACUACUUGGUCCAGACUGAGGAGCAGUUUAUCUUUAUCCAUGAUGCAUUAAUGGAAGCUGUGCUUGGCAAAGACACCGAGGUGCCUGUCUGGCAACUCCAUAGUUAUGUCAACAGCAUUCUCACCUCGAGCCCCACAGGACAAACACGCAUGGACAAACAAUUUAAGUUGUUGACGCAAUGCAAUUCUCACCUCACUGAGUGUUUCAGUGCCCAGAAAGACUGCAACAAAGAGAAGAACCGCACCUCGUCGGUCUUGCCAAUGGAACGGGCUCGGGUGGCACUAGCUCCCCUCCCAGGAGUAAAAGGAACCGACUACAUCAAUGCCGCCUACAUUAUGGGCUAUUACAGGAGCAACGAGUUCAUCAUUACCCAGCAUCCUCUGCCCCACACAACCACAGACUUCUGGAGGAUGAUCUGGGAUCAUAAUGCUCAAGUUAUUGUGAUGUUGCCAGACAACCUCGGCCUUACUGAGGAUGAAUUUGUGUACUGGCCCAGCAGAGAGGAGCCCAUGAACUGCGUAGCUUUCACUGUCACCCUCAUUAAUACUGACAGACUCUGCUUAUCUAAUGAGGAGCAACUCAUCAUCCACGACUUCAUCCUAGAAGCCACACAGGAUGACUAUGUGCUAGAAGUCCGACAUUUUCAAUGUCCAAACUGGCCAGAUCCUGAUGCAUCCAUCAGCAGCACAUUUGAGCUCAUCAACAUCAUCAAAGAAGAGGCUAUGGCAAGGGAUGGUCCCACCAUCGUGCAUGAUGAGUUUGGCGCCAUCUCUGCCGGGAUGUUCUGUGCUCUGACCACACUUUCCCAACAACUGGAGAACGAGAGUGCUGUGGAUGUCUAUCAAGUGGCCAAAAUGAUUAACCUCAUGAGGCCUGGCGUCUUCACUGAAAUUGAGCACUAUCACAACCUUUACAAGGCUAUGCUCAGCCUUGUCAGCAGUAAAGACUUCAGACUUGGCUUCAACUACAUGGACAAAAUUGCUGGGAUAGUGGUAACAGAUGAAUCCAACCAGGCUGAGAGCAUGGAGUCCUUGGUGUGAAGUUUUCGGGAAAAUGAGAUGGAACAAAGUGGUUCCUUGAACUUUCCAUGAGGCCUUUUUUCCCAGACUCUUGGUGAAAUAAAAAAGAAAAAAACAACA